CAUGGGCAGAGUUUACUAGCCCCAGGAUGAGGAGAGCUCUCUCCAGACCAAGCAUCAGAGUGGAGUGACUAUUCUUGACACAGGACUUGAGUUCCUGGCAACUCCCCCUUGUCAGUCUCUAACCUUCCCAGGAAGGUCCCUUCACGAGGCUGCACGUGACUGGCUCUGGCAAUGGACUUGGGAGCAAGAGUGAUGAGUCAAGUGUAUAUAUAAACCUGCUUACUUAGACUGAGUACCACCAACUAAGAUGUGUCCAGAAAGCUGGCACCAGAUGACAUUUUGCCCACAGGCUCUUCCACCAGCUCACCAAUUACCCAACCCUCUAACGUCUGCCAAUCUGAUGAAAUGGGAGAAUGGCACUGAGAAGGAUCAAAAGGAGUCAAGAAUGCUCUCCCUGGGAUGCCCCUCCUACAGCCCCACAUAACACAACCCAGCCACCUUCCAAACACAGCUCCUAGCUGCCUCCUUGGCCACAGAUCCUUCAUGUUCCAACCAAGAAAGUCAAACUUCCAAACUCCAGCCACCACUGAGCCAUUCCGUGAUGAGAAAGUCAGCACCAGCACUUGAUGAAGCAGGAGAGCAAGGUUCUUACCUCACAGAGUCAAAGAAUGAAUUCACAGACAAAGGGGAGUGAGCAAAGCAAAGAGAUUUUAUUAAGCAAGGACACAGAAGAAGCUCUUAGGAAUGACAGGGGACCCAACCAAGGGCUUUUAUGGUUGGUCUUUUGUUGAAAACUGACCAGGGAACUUAAAUCUUUUUAACAUCUCUACCCCCUGAUAACACCAUUAAGUAAGGACUGGUGAUAACAUCUUGAAUGACUUACUUCUUCUUUUGGGUCUGGUCAUUCUUUGUGGGCACAACGUGACUGCCAGAAAGGACCCCACUUCUGACGUCCAGGGCAGAGUGCUCUGGUUUGUUCUCUUAUCUCUGGUUUCAUUAGGACUCAGCAUUUCUGGGAUUUUUGGUGAACCUGAUCACAUAGCCCCCUAAGCAAGCCCUGUCACACAGUCCCCUAGCUAUCCCUCCCUACCCAGCCCCACCUGUCCCUUACUCAAUGAUAGCACCUUCCAGUCUUCAAUCCUCCAUGCAUACUAUCAGCUCCCACUGAGUAAUUACACUCACGUGUUCAGGGUUAUGAUCACCUCUAGGUGCAAGUGAAAGGGGGAGCCUGGUUGUGAAAGCCCCUUGUGUCCGGAUGCAGUGUGAGAAGUCAAGCAGAAUAAAAGUGAGCACUUUGGAAUUCCCAAAUCUAUCCACACCUGCUGCCUGUAGUAACUGUGGUACCUGUCACUUUCUUCCUUGUGUGAUCGUUAUUCAUGAAUACACCUUAUCUUUCUCUUUCUGUAUUUCCUCAAUCCUAAGUUUCUAUCAAUUAUAAAAUGACACAAUUAUUUAAUUAUAUGGGGGAAGGGGAUCAUCACAUUAAAUGCACAUGUCAAUAUUGAUAUUAUUCAGACACUUCAAAUUGUGUGAGGGAAGAAGAAAUUCUUGGAAUCAAGGUGGUGUUUUAGGUGGGAGAUUCUGAGAGAGAUCCCUUCCAGUACGGGAAGCAGUGGAAUCCCUGGGGGGGGGAUGGGGGGUACCUGCCGCCCCCCUCCCAUUAAUUUACAUAAUUCAAUGUUUCCUGGAGGCAGGUAUAUGAAAGCAAGAACUAAAAUUUACAAGACUGCGUUCUGAUCGCAGAGUAUUACCCCUGCUUUGUUUGGUUUUUGUUCUCUUUUGAAUAUCUGGACUUUUGCCCACCCUGAUUCUCCUGGUUCUUUAGUCACCCUUCCCUUUGUACUAAGACCAUGGCAGUCCCUCCCCACCUCCACAACUGCACCCCCCACCCCCACCCCCUGCAGCUGUUCACAUGAGCUGGAUACACCGCAGAAGGUGAGAGCCUCACGCACCUGUGGAGGAAGUGGACAACCUCCCCAACCCCACUCCGGUAAAGGGGUGCUCUGCAUUCUCUGGGCAGACACACAGAGGAGCUCCAGGAUCAUUGGACCCUGCUUUAGUAUCAUCCAUCACCCAACCAGCCACCCCUUGCUCAUGGAUCUGGUCCACAGCCAAACAGGGGGAGGAGGAAGGCUGUGGGUUCAUCAUAGCAUUCUUCACCCUCAUUAACUCCUGAUAUGCUCAGACCAACCUCCCUGACACAGUUUCUUCCUGCGUACAUCUGUAUUCACCUGUGCCUGUAUAUCUCUUUUUAU